GAAAUAUGUUAUUCAAAAGCAAGCUUCUAACUUAGCUUUUAAGCUGUGAAAUUCAGUUUAUAUUUCU
rnacentral:tRNA from 1 species